AUUUUAGUAGCUUAAAUUUAAAGCAUAGUACUGAAGAUACUAAUAUGACCUCUAUCCUGAAAUA
rnacentral:tRNA from 1 species